GGGGAUGAUUUGAUUCGACGGAAAACGUUCUUUAAAAACUGCAAGCCGACUUUGAUACCAGUCGUAAAACAGAUCAAAAAAUAAAUGCUUACAGCAAUGUAAAGCAAGCAUUUAAAGGUGCACUCGCAUCCUUUAUUGAUGCUUUCCGCCCAACGCAAAUGGGGGCACUCGCCUUCACAGCUUAAAGCGGAAUGUUCAUAGUUGCUUUUCUCAACGGGCGCUAUGGGCAAAUUACAGUUGAGAGAAAAAACGGAAUGGUUUUGACCGCAAAUAAACCUAAGAUUAGUAUUCCUGUCCGUUGGAGAAGCUAAUACGAAAAAACAAAAACGGACUACGCUUGUAGAUGUUUUUCUAAAUAUUUUUCGGACUGGAGGUCAUUACUCCACAUCUCCACAC
rnacentral:tmRNA from 1 species